AGCGGGGUAGAGCAGCCCGGCAGCUCGCUUGGCUCAUAACCAAGAGGUCGUUGGUUCAAAUCCAACCCCCGCAACAA
rnacentral:tRNA from 2 species